GCCCACUGUACCCACCCGAAGUAGGAAUGAAACCCAUCCUGAGAGAUGUUGCAUGUCUAGCCGAUCACCUCUUCAGCGGGGCAAGAAGGAAUUUUUUCCUCCCAUGGGCCAAUUGGCAGACAACCAGAGAGAGAGGUGAUCAGUCCCUGACUUGAAGAGCUUGCCAUCUGAUUCAAGACAAGACACAAUAAACAUUAGGAAGAGAGAGUCCUAUCCUAGAGAGCAAUAUCUCCCUUGUCUACAUGAAGUGAAAGCACAAGACAGAACAACAACAACAAACCAGACCAACCUUUUGGAGUUAAUACUUCUUUACAAUCUCCUUCUGAAUUCAAGCUGGUAGUGGGAUACCACCUCAGUGAAAACAACAGGUGGGGGAAAGGAACCAUUAAUACAUCUAAGCAAAGCACUCUGCACCUACAUGUCAGUCCUGUUUCUUUCACUUCAUAAUCUCCUGUCAAACAUUUCCAACACAAUGACGGGGGAAGGGGAAAGAGAAGAAAAUGGGAUGUGAACUCUGAUGGGAGCCAGAAACAUUUCUCAUACUUUUUCAAACCAAAGUACAGGAGGUAUUCAAUAAUAAAUAAAAGCAGUC